rnacentral:rRNA from 1 species
UACGUAGGGGGCUAGCGUUGUCCGGAUUUAUUGGGCGUAAAGAGCGUGUAGGCGGCCAGGUAGGUCUGCUGUGAAAACUCGAGGCUCAACCUCGAGACGUCGGCGGAAACCAUCUGGCUAGAGUCCGGAAGAGGAGAGUGGAAUUCCUGGUGUAGCGGUGAAAUGUGUAGAGAUCGGGAGGAACACCGGUGGCGAAGGCGGGUCUCUGGGCAUCUCCUGACGCUGAGGCGCGAAAGCGUGGGGAGCAAACGGG